rnacentral:rRNA from 1 species
ACGGGGUGCAGCAGGCGCGAACACUUUACAAUGCGGGAAACCGCGAUAAGGGAAACCNCGAGUGCCAGCAUCAAAUGUUGGCUGUCCAGAUGAUUAAAAAUCAUUUGUUAGCAAGGGCCGGGCAAGACCGGUGCCAGCCGCCGCGGUAACACCGGCGGCCCGAGUGGUAGCCGUUUUUAUUGGGUCUAAAGGGUCCGUAGCCGGCCUGAUAAGUCCUUUGGGAAAUCUGGCAGCUUAACUGUCAGGCUUCUAAGGGAUACUGUCAGGCUUGGGACCGGAAGAGGUAAGGGGUACUCCCAGGGGUAGGAGUGAAAUCUUGUAAUCCCUGGGGGACCAUCUGUGGCGAAGGCGCCUUACCAGAACGGGUCCGACGGUGAGGGACGAAAGCUAGGGGAGCAAACCGGAUUAGAUACCCGGGUAGUCCUAGCUGUAAACGAUGCUCGCUAGGUGUCAGACACGGUGCGACCGUGUUUGGUGCCGCAGGGAAGCCGUUAAGCGAGCCACCUGGAAGUACGUCGCAAGGC